UCAAAUAGCCGCCAUGUCCAGGUCGAAGCGGGAACUAGGCCGGGGUUCUCGCAAAGCCUGAGGCGGAAGGCAGCUGGAUGGCCUCUGGGCUUGGAGGACGCAGCACGCCGUGGUUCAUCCCACUUACCCGCAGUGAUUCUUGGUCCUGGCUACACAGCAGAAUCACCGGAGGCGCCUCUUGGAAUACUGAUGCCUGGGCCCCACCCCGAACCAAUGAAAAUCUCCGGUGGUGGACCUGGGCAUUGGUAUUUUAUGUAAAGCGCCCAGUUUACCAAGAUGAUGUCAGUACAGCUAGCGAUAUGCAACACGCCACCUUCAGUCCCUUUGCCUCUGGAAGAGAAACCAGACUGCA